UUAGUAAACACGCCCCCUUUCUCUUGACGUGUGUUUGUUCUCCCCAGAAGUUUUAGGUAAUACCGGUGUCCCUAUGAAGCCCCCCACAGGGAGUUUACCGAGUGCAGUACCGGGCACAAGGCAAGCAAGUGCUACUGAAGAGACAGCAGCGUGAUUGUUUGCUCGAAAUAUUGCGAUGCAUGGUCGGAGUUGAAGAAAACAAAGUCGCAUGACGCCCCUAUAGUUUUGUAUCCUUGCGCGGAUGGACAGCUUGUCCCAGGUUGACACAACAGAUAGCGGGCUUUAUCCUUGACGUGCUUGUGGCAGCUGCUCCUCAGGCUGGCAGUUACUCACACAAUGGGCUCUUGUCACUUCUUGGCUACAUUCACAGCUAGAUUUCUUUCGUGUUAGCCACAUGGAUAGCCCACAGAAAAUAAAGCAUUCUACUUCUAUUCUUAA